rnacentral:rRNA from 1 species
AGUGAACGCUGGCGGUAGGCCUAACACAUGCAAGUCGAACGGCAGCACAGUAAGAGCUUGCUCUUACGGGUGGCGAGUGGCGGACGAGUGAGGAAUACAUCGGAAUCUACUUUUUCGGGGGGGAUAAGGUAGGGAAACUUACGCUAAUACCGCAUACGACCUACGGGUGAAAGCAGGGGAUCUUCGGACCUUGCGCGAUUGAAUGAGCCGAUGUCGGAUUAGCUAGUUGGCGGGGUAAAGGCCCACCAAGGCGACGAUCCGUAGCUGGUCUGAGAGGAUGAUCAGCCACACUGGAACUGAGACACGGUCCAGACUCCUACGGGAGGCAGCAGUGGGGAAUAUUGGACAAUGGGCGCAAGCCUGAUCCAGCCAUACCGCGUGGGUGAAGAAGGCCUUCGGGUUGUAAAGCCCUUUUGUUGGGAAAGAAAAGCAGCAGGUUAAUACCCCGCUGUUCUGACGGUACCCAAAGAAUAAGCACCGGCUAACUUCGUG